rnacentral:siRNA from 1 species
UCGACCGCUCCUCAAACCGCCA